rnacentral:rRNA from 1 species
AGUGAACGCUGGCGGCAGGCCUAACACAUGCAAGUCGAGCGAAUGAAGUUCCUUCGGGAACGGAUUUAGCGGCGGACGGGUGAGUAACACGUGGGCAACCUGCCUCAUAGAGGGGAAUAGCCUUCCGAAAGGGAGAUUAAUACCGCAUAAGAUUGUAGUACCGCAUGGUACAGCAAUUAAAGGAGCAAUCCGCUAUGAGAUGGGCCCGCGGCGCAUUAGCUAGUUGGUGAGGUAACGGCUCACCAAGGCGACGAUGCGUAGCCGACCUGAGAGGGUGAUCGGCCACAUUGGGACUGAGACACGGCCCAGACUCCUACGGGAGGCAGCAGUGGGGAAUAUUGCACAAUGGGGGAAACCCUGAUGCAGCAACGCCGCGUGAGUGAUGACGGCCU